UACAGAGGUGGCAAGCGUUGUUCGGAAUUACUGGGCGUAAAGCGCGUGUAGGCGGAAGCGAAAGUCCGGUGUGAAAGCCCCCCGCUCAACGGGGGAAGGUCGCUGGAAACUGCGCUUCUUGAGGGCGGCAGAGGGAAGUGGAAUUGCUGGUGUAGCGGUGAAAUGCGUAGAGAUCAGCAGGAACACCCGUGGCGAAGGCGGCUUCCUGGGCCGCGCCUGACGCUGAGACGCGAAAGCGUGGGGAGCGAACGGG
rnacentral:rRNA from 1 species